CGAGCCGCAAAACGCAAUAGUCCGCGCCGGCCGCGCGCUCGCCGCCCGCAUCCCUCGUGCGGCCUUCGGGCCUUUCUUCCCGGGGCUGGCGAGCACGCGCCCGCCUAGGAAAUUGCAACAGAUGGAAAAGAGGACGCCCCCUCCUCCCCCCUCCUCCCCGGGGAGGAAAAGCCUCUUGCUUUUUGACAGCUGCCCCAACUACACCACCGAGCCCGCUCCCGCCGCCGGAGACAGCGGGCUGGUGAUUCAAGGGGCGGGGCGCGAGAGGAAAGUAUUCGGGACAAGAAGCAACUUCUCCCGGACGCGCGGCUGCCCGGCACACGCGGGCGCGGCGCGGCGCACCCUCUCCUCCGGGGCUCUUCCUCCCACGGCCACCGUGGGGGCUGGGUGGGGAGGGUGGGGGUACGAGACGGAGACACCCAGGGCGAAUGUCUGUCUGCCGCUGCCGGGGGCUAGAGCUGCGAGUUCCGGAUUGGAUUGCAUGGCAGUUUCGAAAUCGAACACGUUGCGCAGACACUUGUCACGCUCACAUGCUCUUUAAACGUCUCGGCUCGGGGACGGCCCGAGCACGAGCCCGCCCCGCCGCGACCCCUCCACCCCCGGACCCCGACAGCUGCGGCCUCCAGACGAACGGGGCGACCGCGCCGUGCCUGCUCAUCCGUUUCGGUAAACAGUGCCUACUUUUAGGACUCGAACGCCGCCAGGGGACACCCCCUCCCCUUGUGUAUUUAAAACAGAAACUAGCGUGAGGUCAACACGCGUCGGUUUAUUUCGGGCGAAACCCGCUCUUUUAAAAGACCCGGUGCCGCGGGGGCUGAUUCCAAAACACGCGUGCCCCUCCCCCGCGUCUGCCUUUCGCGUGGGUAGGGCUUGUUUUGAAGCAAAGCAAAAGAGCUGUCUUGCGCCAGAGAAAAACUUCCCGCAACACGAAAGAAAGAGAAAGAAGCCCAAACGUAAAGAAGCCCAGACGCAAGUCCGCGCCCCAGUCCUCUCCGGUUUCGGCGCUGGGCUGUUUUGUUUUGCAACCUGGAUGGAGACCUCGGCAGCAGGAAGCUGCAGGAAAAGAAAGUUAAACCUGGGGAAGAACAGGAACUAGACUUUGAGUCUCCAUAUAGGAUCACCCUGAAAAUUAAAGCCAGCCCGCCCCUCGCCGAGUGUGCGUGGAGGCCAGAGUUGAAAAAGCUCGGGUGGGUUUUCCAGUGACCAGGGCUUCAAAUGAAUCAGCAAGGGAAAAAGCGUCACUAAGCUGGCAGCAACCUUAGGGCUUUUUUUUUUUUUUUUUCCUUCUGCGGUUUUUGCCGAUCGCUCGGCAGCCACCGACGAGAACGCACACAUCUGAAACGAGCCCGCGGGGCUGGGGCGGGGGCCACGGUCCCGGCGGAGGUGAAUCAGUGCCGCGCCGGGGAGCCGGAGAGGGGCGCGCGUCCCCGCCGCCCGUUGGAGGCCGCCUGGCUCCGGCAUUUGAAGGGUUGUUUGUUGCUGGGAUUGGUGGCUCGCCUCCGCCGGGGAGCCGGGAGAGGAGGAGGAGAGACGCAGGGAGGAGGAGCCGCGGGGCCCGCGACGCUGAGACUCCGCGGUCUGAGUGGCUGCAGCCGCGUCUGGGUCGGCGCGGUUACUGCGGAGACGCUUUGUUUGCUAACUUCGAAGGCGGCCUCCCUGCCUCGGCCGCUUUUGGGGCCGCUGCCCAACACGCCUCGGGGCCGGUUUAACCCUGCCCCUGCCCGGGACAGAACUGUUUCCUUCUUCCCGGUACUGCAGCUUGGCCACGCGGUGGCUCUCAUGAUGUGCACAAAGAUAGCUUUGCUUUCGGCCGCACAGACUUGGCUAAAUGAAUGCAAGUCUCGGGCGACAAGGAUGGAAACCUAGAGAGCGAGCACUUACUUUACAGCUUGAGAACAAACUUUACCACGCUAGGGGGAGGGGUGGAGAAAAUUAAAAGCCUCUUUCAUAGUAGGAGGAGGGAAAAGUGCAGACUGAAACUCGGCUGGAGGGCCGGCUGGAUCCGGCCCAUACACACCUUCUGCCCAGGCAGAUCAUACCGAGGCAAUUAUUAAGCUAGCAGGAGGCUGCAGAAAGCAACACAAGCGAAUUCUGUGUUGCACCAGGAGCCUCAGAGGCCUCGGAGUAGAUGCUACCGCACCCUGGCCCCAGGGCCAGGUGCCAAACCCGGCUGCAACUCUCCACUGCUGGUGCAUUCUGGGAAGAAAGUGCCUGGAGUCUUCAAAAUCAGCUCCGAGUUGGGAUCUAGUUGGGUUUUUUGCGUGUGGUUUUGUUUUGUUUGAGACAGGAUUUUGCUCUGUAGUCCAGGAUGGCCUGGAACUCACUGUGUAGCCCAAACUGGCCUCCAACUCACAGGGAUCCUCCUGUGUCAGCCUUCCUACUGCUGGGAUAACAGGCAUGGGCCACCACGCCCUGCUAGGAUCUAUUUUGUUUAUUGCUUUUCUCAAGGUGGAAAAACAAGUUUCAGUUCUGACUCUGUCAGACCGUUAAUGUCUCAGGGCCUCUCCUUAACACAGAUUUAAAAGACAUUUAAGAUUUUUUUUCCCCCAGUGUUUUAAAGGAAAAUUGUACGGACUCCCAUUUACUGCCUGUUGUCUGCCGAAUUCAGAUGAACCUUAGCUGAAUUCAACACAGAGGCGAGUGAUGAUAAACGUUCUUGCCCAUUAUCUUUUCCUUUCUCCAUUUGGCGUCUUUAUCUUCUGAAACUGUCUCAAGGCCAGGCAAAGAAACAACGUUGCUAUACAGUGACUUUUCAGAAAACUCAGACAGAAACUUGGAAAGGCACAGAGGCCCGACGUUAAUAAAUGCAGCCGUUAUUAUUUUGGACCCCAGGCCCGUCCAAUGGCUGGAAGCCGUAUUUAUUUCCGCUCUGCUGCUCAGCUUUCCAUUUGGGUGCCACAAGCUUAGGCUUCUAGUGUCAGGGCAGGCAAAGAUUUCUAGGCGACACACAGAGGGCUGGGCUCCAAAGGCUGGACAAAGGGCAGGUAGUCAUCUGGACACCUGUUGGAUGAGAGAGGUUGACUGUCUGUCCGUGGUCCCUUCAAGGACCUGGGUCCAGGCCAGGCCGUCUAUGGCGACUUCACAAUGUCAUUGGGGAUAAUUCUCCCCUGGACAGCACAAGAGUGGGACUAGUGCUUCAGCUCCUGUUUUGGGUCAUAUUUCUGUGGUCUGCUCUUUCCUCCUUCCCUUCUUUCUCCUCCCUAAAAGACGUCGCUUCGCUACCUAGGUAUGUGUUGGAAUCCAGGAGACAAGCAAACAAAACAGAACAGACAGAACAUGAAUGCCUGGAGCCUUGGCCUCCUUUAUUCCUAGCCUCCUGGGUCUUCACUGUGCUAUAUAGUUCAUGAGACAGUUACUUAAAUGACCUUGCUUCAUACCCACCCUGGCCAUGCACAUUAUUACUAUAUUUUUUGAAAUUUAAAUAACGCAGUCAUAUGUAACAGCGAAAAGGCAAAAGUCAGGCCUGGGGCCCCCAUGCAUCCCAUCCCCCCUCAAGUGAUCUCAGGGAAGUGCUGUGCUUUAGGAAGCUGGCGUGGCACAGGCAGACACUGACCUCUGACGGCUUCACCAGGGGACCCAGUGGCCUGACGCCUGCUGGACAGGCGCUGCCCCGCUGAGCUAGGCCCUGGCCAGCUCCCCUGCCCAUCUGCUUUGCAGGAGUUGGAGUCCUGCAAGUUUGUUCAUUUGCCUGGCUGAAAUCACGCCCCACCCCGCCCCAGCCCUGAUGGAACAGUAAUGAGGUUUUCAAGCUCACUUUUUCAUUUAUGGAGCAUUUCUCCUAGCGAUGAGCAGGGAAUAUAGCUCCAAGCUGUGGAUGGUGCAGUUGGACUGGGACUAUUUGAAUAAGUGGAAAAUGGGGGUCAAGUGAAAGGAGCUGCUAACCCCCGGGGGGGGGGGGCUGCACCUGCGCCAGGGUCAGCUCAGGUGAGAUCUUUUGGGGCCCAGGGAGUAUAUUUGGGUCUGAGAGAUAGAAUACCUAGGUCAAAAGGAAUGUGUGUGUGUGUGUGUGUGUGUGUGUGUGUGUGUGUGUGUGCUUUCAAAAUUUUGACAGAUACUGCCAAAUUACCUCCUGUUAUGGUUCAAAUAUGAAGUGUACCCUAAAGCCCCAUGUAUUAAGGGCAUGAUCUUGACAAGUGUGGUGGUGCAAGCCUGUAAUCUCAGCACUCAGGAGGCUGAGGCAGGAGGAUCACCAAAGCCUGUUGGAACUUUCUAUUGAGACCCUGUCAAAAACAACAAAACAAAACAAAAAGGGGGGCGUCACUGAUGAUAAUCUAGUGCCAUUCUCCACUGAAUGGCCUGCAAGAGGCAGCAGCUGGAGGAAGUGUCUUGAAGGGUUUAUCUUGUCCUGGCCCCUUCCCCGCCUGCCCUCCACCCUCUGUUUUUUGUUGUUGUUGUUGUUUUUUUUUUCUUUUCCCUUUUUAUCCAUACGCUUAUGCGCUGAGCUAAGUCCCCAGCCCCUUUGUUUCUAUGUUGCAGUGGGACCAGUAGCUUCCUCACCAAGCCUGUCUGCUUAGGCCCCCCCCCCCCCCCACUGACCGGGGCUGGAACCUGGCAGAAAAAUCAAGUCUUGUUCUGGUUAAGGGUUUAUGUCAGAAUUGUCACAGCCAGGGCUGGGGAUUUAGCUCAGUGCUUAAGUGCCUGCCUGGCAAGCUCGAGAUCAGGACUUCCAUUCCCAGCACCAAAAAAAAAAAAAAAACAAAAAACAAUUGUCACAGCCUUGAAAUUUGUCACAGCCUCCAAGUGAGCUUACCUACUGAGACCUCCAAGAAAUGUGCUUGAAAAGACCUGGUGGCACUGCGUAGUGUUGGUUUCCAGUUGGGCUGUCCAAGGCAAACCAAUAGCACCUAAGGAACCUGGAAUACAAGCCCUCUGCGCGGUUUGAGGCUCGGUCCACCAAAGGCUCCUCUCUCUUCCACAUGAGCAGCGUCUGGAAAGGAGCUUUCCCUUCAAUACGGUGCAGACAGGAUCUUACCACGUAGCCCAGUCUGGCUUCCAUCUCAUGGAAGUCUCCUGCAUCAGCCUCCCAAAUGCUGGGACUAUAGGAGCGUGCCACCACGACCCAGUGUUUGGCAGCUCUUGAGGAAGACGAAGUUUGUAGUUUUCUCCAGAGUUAAUUUAGAGGCAAAAUCUGGUUAACAGGUGGGGUUUGGGGGUGGUUGUUUGUUUGUUUGUUUUGGUACCUAGGGGACCAAACUCACAACCUCACAUUUGCCAGGCUGGCGCUUGUGCUGCUCAGCUAAAUCCCUGGCCCUAACACGGUUUGAAGAGAUAAAAAGAAUCGGUUCACUGAAUGAGAAAAAAAACCUCACGUGCUGUGCCAGUGGAGGCCAACUUUCCACUCGGUGCUUCGUGUUGCAAAGCCCUAGAUCCCCAGAGCUCAGUGUCUGCCCAGGCAGCUGCCCCCAGUUUUUCCUGCUGCUUGUGCUGCAGGACAGGACAGUAUCGUGUAACCCUGGUGACACAAGGAACCCAUGGUGUCCGCUCGCCCCGCCGUGUUAGCUGCUUCAGUUUCUGUGCACACUGCACAGGUCAAAGAGGAGAGUUUCGUGGAUGCUUGAUUUCUCAGGAUCAGUGAGUGUCCUCACAGAGAGUAGCCCUGCAGUGAAGACACUGCCCAGUACUGGGGCAAGGGCACCUCCUGCACCAGCGAGGCAGGGCAGUGGUCUUAGGUUGCUGCUUCUGCAUGGCACUUCACUUGGUGAGACGGCUCAGUCUCCAUGGGGCCGGGUGCUGCUCCUCCAAAGCUUUGCAUGAAUGCAGUGUCACUCUGGGGACAGUGCUGACAGGGCGGGAGUAAAGAACAAACCUGGAGCUGCCGACUGUCACUGGCUUUUUGGUAUGUGUGGUAAAACAUGCUAUGUAAAAUAAAGCAUUGUGAUUUUUUUUC